rnacentral:rRNA from 1 species
AUUGAACGCUGGCGGAAUGCUUUACACAUGCAAGUCGAACGGCAGCACGGACUUCGGUCUGGUGGCGAGUGGCGAACGGGUGAGUAAUGUAUCGGAACGUGCCCAGUCGUGGGGGAUAACGUAGUGAAAAUUACGCUAAUAACGCAUACGAUCUAUGGAUGAAAGCGGGGGAUCGCAAGACCUCGCGCGAUUGGAGCGGCCGAUAUCAGAUUAGGUAGUUGGUGGGGUAAAGGCCCACCAAGCCAACGAUCUGUAGCUGGUCUGAGAGGACGACCAGCCACACUGGAACUGAGACACGGGCCAUACUCCUACGGGAGUCAGCAGUGGGGAAUUUUGGACAAUGGGCGAAAGCCUGAUCCAGCCAUUCCGCGUGCAGGAUGAAGGCCCUCGGGUUGUAAACUGCUUUUGUACAGAACGAAAAGGUUUCUACUAAUACUAGGAGCUCAUGACGGUACUGUAAGAAUAAGCACCGGCUAACUACGUGCCAGCAGCCGCAGUAA